UUGAAAAUCCUCAGAGUUUAGUUUGAAUAUGGAAAUUAGAUUAAUCACGUGGUUUAUUUUUCAUACAAGUAGAGAGUUUUUUUUAUUUUUAUUUUUUUAUUUUUACUGCCAACUUGAGCGUUUAGAUAUUAGCAAUCUCUUUUGGAAGGUCAAAGGUUCAAGUCUCUACGCUUAGCCUGGUUUGAACUACAACAAGAAAAUUCGCUAUACCUUUUUCAACAUUUCAAGUGUUGCAUUUUCUGCUCCUCACACUUUGCUUCCGAUGCAUUAUUUUCCAAGUCUUGAAUGGUGCCAUUUUGGGGUGCCGAGUUUCUUGGUUCGUUACUUGUUAGUGAAGCAGAACUACUAUUUUCCAACAUGUUUUCCUUCUUGAUUGAUCGUCUUCCUCAGCAACAAAUGAUGUUGUUAUGCUCACCAGUGGGAAUAUCGUAAUCCUUGAAGCUUGAUUGAAUAUUGCAACAGACACUCCAACAGCCGCCAGUUCAACCGCUCCUGCAGAAACCAAUUUUAAAGUGAUCUUUGUCCAUGAUAUUACAAACGACUAAAUUGGUUUGACAUUGCAAUGAAAAGAUAGCAGUAAAUGCAGAGUAUGUACCAAUAUGGCCGACGAAAAUGGUGUCGAUAAGAGAAGCAAUGGGAUCAGCGGCAACAGCUAGAGCAGCUGGAAAUGCAAUUCCAAGGAUCUCUUUUCCAAGUUCAUCCCACUUGAAAACAAGUCUGGAAGAACAUUUCUUUGGAUUAAUAACAAAUAAAAGACUACAAAGAAUAUCCAAGAAGCGAAAGAUCAUGGCGAAAGUACAAACUCGCCAUAUCAACAUAGGGAAAAGCAAGAGAAAAAAUGGAGCAGAAAGUUAUAUACCUUGAAUCUUUGAAGAAAACAUUCAUAGGCAUCUUCCACUUGUUCUUUUUUGUCACUAAACCAACCUCAUUUGCCAUAAUUCAGGUUUUUAACCUUUUCCUAAGUUCUUGGUCUUUUGAUAUAGCAAUCAGCCUCUGUCUCUUUAAGUGUCACAGAGAAGCAAGUUUGGAAUCUGCAGACUGAGUGAUUAUGAAGCAAAAAUUCAGUUACAAUUACAGAAAAACAUGGAAAGUAAGUAAAGUAGUGCAUAACAGGAACAGGAAAAAGAAAUGAAGCCCUCUUCACCAAAAACAUGCAAAACAGAAACAAAACUGCAGAAGAAUUUAUGAAAUGCAUGGAAGCUCUCCUGCUCACAUGGUGAUGAUGAAUACAACAACACAAUGCUGCAGUUUUUUUUUUUCUCAUCAACUUUGAGGAAUCUGCAUGCCAUGGCGCCGAAGGACAAGCGCGUUCAUUAAGGAGAAUACUAUGCAAAUGAAUGUAGAUAUUGAGACGAAAAGUUAAUCUGUGUCAUGCUCAUGGCAAGUUAUGUGCUUUUAUAUACUGAUUUUCCUGUGUACUAGCAUUGGGAAAAAAAUGGUUGUCUUAUUAUUAGUUUCAAAUUUACAAUCAAAAGCUUUGGAAUCUUGGGAUAAAA